AAGCCAGAGGAAUUGAAGACCGACUUUCAGUGUAAAGGAAAGAUAAGCACAAGGGGAAGAGGAGCCCAGGUCUGCUGGGGACGCCGCAGGGAGCCAGGGCCUGUACCUUGCUCUUCCAGGAUCCCGUUGGGCAUCUUCUUGUCACUGCUGCUGACCACGGCUUUCCUCUGUUUUCUGAACCUUGGAGGCACAAGACGCGUUAGUCCUCAGCCCACCCAGGCUGCCAGGGAGCCCGGAGCCCUGGGCGCAGGGAUACCCACCAGGUGAGCCGGGAAAAGCUCUUCCUGCUGCUCAUGGCCGAGCCUGCUGGGGCCUGGCCCACUGUGCAUCUCAGCGGCCCCGGCCCACACCCGCAGCCUCCAGAAGGCUCAUUUCCUCAUCCGAGCUGGUCGGGGCAAGUCAGCGCCCCGGGGACACUCCUACCUGAAGAAGUAGGCGGUGAGGAGGAGCAAGAGGAGGAACAGCAGCAGGGGCAGCAGCAGCCAGAUGAACCAAAAAGCCCCAAGCAGGGAAGGUGGCGCCCUCUUGCUGGGGGGCCUCGGGGGUGCCACAGGACUGAGCAGAUUCUGCUCUACUCUGGGGAGCCAGAUGGAUCCUGAGCCUGUAUGCUUCUGGGAUGUGCACAGGUGUCCUUGAGAAGCCAGGGGACUUCUGACGUGUUGGAAGGGAAGCUAGGACUACAGGCUGAGGCUUUUCUGGAGGGCUGCUGCUAAUUUCUGUUUUCCCUAAACCCCGCAAGGGCCAAGCACAACCAGGGCAGGCGUUCAGACUGGUUGCCAGGCAUUUAGACGGACAUUAUUCUGGGUGUGUCUGCGAGGGUUUUCUGGAUGAGACUGACUUUGAACCUGCAGACUGAAUACAGCAGAUGGCCCUGCCAAUCGGGGAGGUCUGGCUGGACCGAGAGGCUGCCCUCCUCGGGGGGAAGGACACCCUUGGCCUGUGCCCCCAGCACUUCCUGGCCUCACAGCAGUCCGCCGGGCCGUGCGGUGCAGACCUGCCUCCUCCGUGACUGGGAGUCACUGUCUUAGGACGAUGAUGUGCCUCUCCUUACAACACGUGAAGUCAUGAAUACAGAA